AACUUAGAGUCAGCAAUGGCUAAACCCCAAGUGGUUGUAGCUCCUGUAUUAAUGUCUAAACUGUUCGUGAAUGCCCCUGAAUUUUACUCAUCAAGUUAUUCUUCCAAUUAUACAGAAUCCUAUGAGGAUGGUUGUGAGGAUUAUCCCACUCUAUCAGAGUAUGUUCAGGAUUUUUUGAAUCAUCUUACAGAGCAGCCUGGCAGUUUUGAAACUGAAAUUGUACAGUUUGCAGAGACCCUGAAUGGCUGGGUUGUAACAGAUGAUGCUUUGCAAGAACUGGUGGAACUCAUCUAUCAACAGACUACAUCUAUCCCAAAUUUCUCUUAUAUGGGAACUCACCUGUGUAAUUACCUGUCCCAUCAUCUGACAAUUAGCCCACAGAGUGGCAACUUCUACCAACUAUUACUUCAAAGAUGUCAAACUGAAUACAAAGUUAAAGAUCAAGCUGCAAAAGGGGAUGAAGUUACUCGAAAAUGAUUUCAUGCAUUUGUACUCUUUCUGGGAGAACUUCAUCUUAAACGGACAGGUUACAAGAGCAGAUAUUCUUCAGGUUGAUCUCUGAGAAUUGCUGAAUGCCCUCUUUUCUAAUCCUAUGGAUGACAACUUAAUUUGUGCAGUAACAUUACUGAAAUUGACAGGGUUAGUUUUAGAAGAUGCAUGGAAGGAAAAAGGAAAGACUGACAUGGAGGAAAUUAUUCAGAGAAUUGAAAAUGUUGUCCUAGAUGCAAACUGCAGGAGAGAUGUAAAACAGAUGCUCCUGAAACUUGUAGAGCUCCAAUCUAGUACCUGGGGUAAAGUUCAAGCAUCUUCAACAUACAGAGAAGCAACACCUGAAAAUGAUCCUAACUACUUUAUGAAUGAACCAACAUUUUAUACAUCUGAUGGUGUUCCUUUUACUGCAGCUGAUCCAGAUUACCAAGAGAAAUAUCAAGAGUUACUUGAAAGAGAGGACUUUUUUCCAGAUUAUGAAGAAAAUGGAACAGAUUUAUCGGGGGCUGGUGAUCCAUACUUGGAUGAUAUUGAUGAUGAGAUGGACCCAGAGGUAGAAGAAGCUUAUGAAAAGUUUUGUUUGGAAUCAGAGAGUAAGUGAAAGCAAUAAAGUUAAAUUUCAGCCUAUCAGUUUUAUAAAGCAGUUUAGGUAUGGUGAUUGAGCGGAACACAGGAAAGCAAGAAAAUGUGUUACACUUAUACCAAAAUAAGGAUGUUGAGUUAUGUUACUGAUGCAUACAACUUUAACUUUGUUUAACACUAUCUGCCAAA